CAGAAGCUUAGGGGGAACAACAGUAGAGUUUGAAAAAAGUGUUGGGGAGGGUCAAAAAAUGGGGGUUACUGAAUAGGAUGGUUGUUUUUUUCUUUCUUGCUGGAAUUCAGUUUAAUGGUGACAGUCAUUUUCUUUUUUCUUUUCUUUAAAUGUUUUUUUUUUUAAAGAGGGGAUAGAAACUGGAAGUUACUAGCUACUGAGGGCCCCAGCUUAGAAAAGCUGAUUCUCAUAUGGGUGAAAUGCAGAUAGAGAGUUCUGUUGGAAAUUUUAAGGCAUUUUCGGUAAGUGAAUGUUUUCCCUGGAAUAAGGCAGGGAUCCUUCUGCUCUGCUGUAACCUAGUUCUGGUGGUGGAUUUGUCAGUAGAUUCUCUCUCUAUGGGUGAUUUUGAAGAUCUUGGCCUAGCAAGAUGGCAGCGGGUUUUAAAAUGGGAUUCCCACGAAGUUAACACUUUUUCAGUGCAGAAGUAUGAGCUUCCCAAGAAGAGAUUCUUGUGGGUGACUGAUAGAAUCAGUUCUCUUCUCCUUGCUGACCUGCCACAGUGUCUGCCCUGAGCCUUCUGAUGUCUCCAUGGAGAAAUGGAUGAAAAAAUGCUGGGCACACAGUGCUGCUGUCUGGUUGCCAUGGUGACCACAGCCUAUUAUCCCGCCUUGUCAUUCAUCAAGAAAGAAUUGCACUUGACAGAGAGAGAGGAGAAUGCCUGCAGUCUGCAGCAAAAAGGGGGGGGGUGGUUUUCUUUUCUUCUGAGUAUGUAAAAGGUCUUUAAUGCCUGUUUCGUUACAUGUUUUAUUUAACAUUAUUUAUUACUUGUAACGGCAAUAAUUGAUACCUGUAAAAAUACACCCCCUCCCUCCAAAGUGUUUAAUUUGCAAUUUGCUUGUUUGUCUUUCUUCCCCAUUUUCAAUCUAUACUCUGCCACCGCCACCCCCUCCACUUCCACCUCAGUGAGGGGAACAGCUAAAUGGUCACAUUCUGCAAAGAGAGUGACCAUUGUCCAGGUGCCUCAAAAAGCAAGCCAACCCCACCCCCCUUAAUUGUGCCCUUUGCUCAUCAGCUUCUGCUGUCCUCCUCGUUUAGAAAGAUAAUUAGUGCACUAUGGCAAAAAAAUUUAAAAAAACCAAAAACCAAAAACCAAAAAACACUUGAACAUAACCUCUGACCACAGUGCAUCUUCCAAGUGCGCAAUGCCUGUGGUGGACUAAAAUAUUCAAAAGGGAAGGUUUCUGUACCCCCCCCCCCCAAUGGAGGUCUUUCCAGGAGAGGGUAGAAUAUAAAACCAGUAAUUGCUCUUUACAAAGUUGGAUCCCAACCAAACUCAUUCUUCAAAGGCAGGAAAAGGUAAUUACUUGUUAUUUGGCCAUUCCUCAUCUUUGCCAUCUGAAUUAACCCAAAUUAAUUCUGAAAAUAUGUGGCCUAAUACCUUUUGUAAAUGAAUACAUUUGUAGGUUUAAACACC
rnacentral:lncRNA from 1 species